UGUCUGGGAAACUGCCUGAUGGAGGGGGAUAACUACUGGAAACGGUAGCUAAUACCGCAUAACGUCGCAAGACCAAAGAGGGGGACCUUCGGGCCUCUUGCCAUCAGAUGUGCCCAGAUGGGAUUAGCUAGUAGGUGGGGUAACGGCUCACCUAGGCGACGAUCCCUAGCUGGUCUGAGAGGAUGACCAGCCACACUGGAACUGAGACACGGUCCAGACUCCUACGGGAGGCAGCAGUGGGGAAUAUUGCACAAUGGGCGCAAGCCUGAUGCAGCCAUGCCGCGUGUAUGAAGAAGGCCUUCGGGUUGUAAAGUACUUUCAGCGGGGAGGAAGGUGUUGAGGUUAAUAACCUCAGCAAUUGACGUUACCCGCAGAAGAAGCACCGGCUAACUCCGUGCCAGCAGCCGCGGUAAUACGGAGGGUGCAAGCGUUAAUCGGAAUUACUGGGCGUAAAGCGCACGCAGGCGGUCUGUCAAGUCGGAUGUGAAAUCCCCGGGCUCAACCUGGGAACUGC
rnacentral:rRNA from 1 species